rnacentral:misc_RNA from 1 species
GAUACACAUCAUCAGGUGUCAUCUAUAUGAAGCAACAAAUGUGUUAAAAAAAACAAGAGACAAAAAGGAUCAAAUUUGACUAUUACAAGGAGAAAUUGAAAUGGAAAACUGAAAAUAUUUUGAUAUUUUUUUGUAACCAAGAUGUACCUGUUAUAAAGAUGACCAAGACAAAAUUUUGUCAUAACUACAAAAAGUCACUUUUUUUGGCUCAUGAGAAAUGCAUUGAUGAAUAUCAGUCCUCAUGAA